rnacentral:rRNA from 1 species
CCUACGGGAGGCAGCAGUGGGGAAUAUUGGACAAUGGGCGAAAGCCUGAUCCAGCAAUGCCGCGUGAGUGAUGAAGGCCUUCGGGUCGUAAAGCUCUUUUACCAGGGAUGAUAAUGACAGUACCUGGAGAAUAAGCUCCGGCUAACUCCGUGCCAGCAGCCGCGGUAAUACGGAGGGAGCUAGCGUUGUUCGGAAUUACUGGGCGUAAAGAGUACGUAGGCGGUUAUUCAAGUCAGAGGUGAAAGCCCGGGGCUCAACCCCGGAACUGCCUUUGAAACUAGAUAACUAGAGUCUUGGAGAGGUUAGUGGAAUUCCGAGUGUAGAGGUGAAAUUCGUAGAUAUUCGGAAGAACACCAGUGGCGAAGGCGACUAACUGGACAAGUACUGACGCUGAGGUACGAAAGCGUGGGGAGCAAACAGGAUUAGAUACCCUGGUAGUCCACGCCGUAAACGAUGAUAACUAGUUGUUCGGUCACUUGGUGACUGAGUGACGCAGCUAACGCAUUAAGUUAUCCGCCUGGGGAGUACGGUCGCAAGAUUAAAACUCAAAGGAAUUGACGGCUGNGANGCGAGCGACACGAGGAGAG